AUGGACUGGAUUCCUCUAGCUCUCCUGGUCCUCUCUCACUAUACAGGUUCCCUCUCCCAGCCUGUGCUGACUCAGCAGUCCUCCAUCUCUGCAUCUCUUGGAACAACAGCCAGAAUCCCCUGCACUCUGAGCAGUGGCAUCAGCGUUAGUAGAAAAUACAUAUAUUGGUAUCAGCAGAAGGCUGGAAGUCAGCCCCGUUUUUUCCUGUACUAUUACUCGGACACAAGCAAUAAGCUGGGACCUGGUGUUCCUAAUCGCGUCUCUGGGUCCAAAGAUACCUCCACAAAUACAGCUUAUUUGCUCAUCUCUGGUCUGCAGUCUGAGGAUGACGCUGAUUAUUAUUGCCAAGUAUAUGACAAUAGUGCUCACACAGUGCCAGAGACAGAUGAGGAAGUGGGACCAAAACCCUCAGUUACUUAG